AAUGCAUAUUAUCCAAGAUGCUGCUCCAAGGGAAUUCACAGGCUGACAAUAAUGUAGAACAUUUGAAUGAGCAGUACCUCUGGGGUAACAGUCCUGGGGCCUGGGUCACUUCCACUUCUAGUCUUUGACCUGUCUGGGUCCAGUGCAAAUCUGUUUUCAAAUACAGGAUGAGUGAGCUCCCUACAAGCUGCCCAGUGGAUUUCCCUAAAUAGCAACUUAUCUGUAGACCCCCUGGACAAGGGUUGUGUGUUAGGCCUUCUUUUCUCCAUGUGGUUCCUGGCAAAAGACUCAGCAUAAAGAGAUAUUUGUGCACACGAAGUCAAUGAAAUGCUCCCGCAUGGGAUCCAGAGCUCAGGAGGUUUCUUCUC
rnacentral:lncRNA from 1 species